GAUGAACGCUAGCGGCAGGCUUAACACAUGCAAGUCGAGGGGCAGCAUUUCCGCUUGCGGAAGAUGGCGACCGGCGCACGGGUGCGUAACGCGUAUAGAACCUACCUUUAACAAAGGGAUAGCCCGAAGAAAUUUGGAUUAAUACCUUAUGGUAUUAUUUAGUGGCAUCACUAAAUAAUUAAAGAUUUAUUGGUUAAAGAUGGCUAUGCGUUCUAUUAGCUAGUUGGUAGAGUAACGGUUUACCAAGGCAACGAUAGAUAGGGGUCCUGAGAGGGAGAUCCCCCACACUGGUACUGAGACACGGACCAGACUCCUACGGGAGGCAGCAGUGAGGAAUAUUGGACAAUGGAGGCAACUCUGAUCCAGCCAUGCCGCGUGUAGGAAGACUGCCUUAUGGGUUGUAAACUACUUUUGUAUAGGAAGAAUUGACAUUACGUGUAAUGUUUUGACGGUACUAUAAGAAUAAGGAUCGGCUAACUCCG
rnacentral:rRNA from 1 species